rnacentral:rRNA from 5 species
AAACGGACGCUAAUACCGCAUACGUCCUACGGGAGAAAGCAGGGGACCUUCGGGCCUUGCGCUAUCAGAUGAGCCUAGGUCGGAUUAGCUAGUUGGUGAGGUAAUGGCUCACCAAGGCGACGAUCCGUAACUGGUCUGAGAGGAUGAUCAGUCACACUGGAACUGAGACACGGUCCAGACUCCUACGGGAGGCAGCAGUGGGGAAUAUUGGACAAUGGGCGAAAGCCUGAUCCAGCCAUGCCGCGUGUGUGAAGAAGGUCUUCGGAUUGUAAAGCACUUUAAGUUGGGAGGAAGGGCAUUUACCUAAUACGUAAGUGUUUUGACGUUACCGACAGAAUAAGCACCGGCUAACUCUGUGCCAGCAGCCGCGGUAAUACAGAGGGUGCAAGCGUUAAUCGGAAUUACUGGGCGUAAAGCGCGCGUAGGUGGUUUGUUAAGUUGGAUGUGAAAUCCCCGGGCUCAACCUGGGAACUGCAUUCAAAACUGACAAGCUAGAGUAUGGUAGAGGGUGGUGGAAUUUCCUGUGUAGCGGUGAAAUGCGUAGAUAUAGGAAG